rnacentral:lncRNA from 1 species
UCUAUCAGGGUUGUAAUUUGUUUAAAAGCAGAAGCAACAUGGAAAUGCACACUUGUAUUUCCUGUGUCAAAACAGGCAAAUAAACCUUUGGAAGUGGGCCUGAUGGGGAAGAGCAAAGGGCACCCUGAGAGCAGUUGCCAGCCUCUCAGCAGUUGGAGGUAGGACAGAGAGGAAAAGGAGCAAAAACAAAGCUAUGACUGCUGCCAGUUAAACACAUUCCAUAGGCCACAUUCCAGCUAAUUAAAAUUCCUCAUUAUUGAUUCUGAUGUUCAGUGUGGACCCUGCUGUCCACGUGCCUAUAAGUUUUCUGGGCCUUGUUUGUGUCGGGGAGAUGUCCACAGACUCAGUGCCACAUCACGUCUCAGCCACCGACCACACAGACGCCCACAGUGACCCAGCUCCUUACCGAAGGCACAGGAUGAGGAGAAGGUGGAUUUGAAUAAAAGUAUGUUGUUCUGACGGUAAACAGCACUUUUAUAGAAAGUGGGAAGUUACCCAUGGAGUGCCCACUUUUUGCUGGACAAAUAUUUCCCUUACUUCCAGAAGCUGCAUUCACUUCCACUGAGGAUCACUCUGUUUCCGAGGUCACCAGUUCACAUGGACACAUGGAAGUGUGAGGACACUCCCUGGCUGGACCGACAGGCUGCGCACAUGACAUCGCUCUCACAGGGGCCCGUCCUUGUGACUGAGGAGGUGGCCAGUGCCAGUUAUCUUCCGUGUGUCCUAUAAGCCCAUUGAAAUCUUAGUGAGCUGCUUGCAGUAUGUACAGCCUGCCGGGGCUCAGAAUCUGCC